AUUCGAUUCCGUAAGUAGCGGCGAGCGAACGCGGAUUAGCCCAAACCAAUAAAGUUUUCUUUAUUGGGGGUGCGGACAUAUCAUAACGAAGAGGUAUCGUAAUUGAAGAGGUUUGGAAAGACCCACCACAGAAGGUAAUAGUCCUGUAUGUUAAACGAGAAGACUUCAGAUAUGAUCCAGAGUACCACGGGACACGUGAAACCCUGUGGGAAGCAGGAGGGACCACCCUCCAAGGCUAAAUACU
rnacentral:rRNA from 1 species